GAUGAACGCUGGCGGCGUGCUUAACACAUGCAAGUCGAACGGUGAAGGCGGAGCUUGCUCUGCUGGAUCAGUGGCGAACGGGUGAGUAACACGUGAGCAAUCUGCCCCUGACUCUGGGAUAAGCGCUGGAAACGGCGUCUAAUACUCGAUACGAGCUGCUAAGGCAUCUUCAGCAGCUGGAAAGAACUUCGGUCAGGGAUGAGCUCGCGGCCUAUCAGCUUGUUGGUGAGGUAACGGAUCACCAAGGCGUCGACGGGUAGCCGGCCUGAGAGGGUGACCGGCCACACUGGGACUGAGACACGGACCAGACUCCUACGGGAGGCAGCAGUGGGGAAUAUUGCACAAUGGGCGAAAGCCUGAUGCAGCAACGCCGGGUGAGGAACGACGGCCUUCGGGUUGUAAACCUCUUUUAGCAGGGAAGAAGCGAAAGUGACGGUACCUGCAGAAAAAGCGCCGGCUAACUACGUG
rnacentral:rRNA from 1 species